GACGAACGCUGGCGGCGUGCCUAAUACAUGCAAGUCGACCUUAGUGGCGGACGGGUGAGUAACACGUGGGAACCUACCCAUCAGAGGGGGAUAACACUUGGAAACAGGUGCUAAUACCGCAUACUAUUGGAGCGGCCGAUAUCGGAUUAGCUAGUUGGUGGGGUAAAGGCUCACCAAGGCAACGAUCCGUAGCUGGUUUGAGAGGACGACCAGCCACACUGGGACUGAGACACGGCCCAGACUCCUACGGUAGGCAGCAGUGGGGAAUUUUGGACAAUGGGCGAAAGCCUGAUCCAGCCAUGCCGCGUGUGUGAAGAAGGUCUUCGGAUUGUAAAGCACUUUAAGUUGGGAGGCGUUACCAACAGAAUAAGCACCGGCUAACUUCGUGCCAGCCGCCGCGGUAAUAC
rnacentral:rRNA from 1 species